rnacentral:rRNA from 1 species
CGUGCUUAACACAUGCAAGUCGAACGGAAAGGCCAGUGCUUGCACUGGUACUCGAGUGGCGAACGGGUGAGUAACACGUGGGUGAUCUGCCUUGCACUCUGGGAUAAGCUUGGGAAACUGGGUCUAAUACCGGAUAUGAACUGCCUUUAGUGUGGUGGUUGGAAAGUUUUUUCGGUGCARGAUGAGCUCGCGGCCUAUCAGCUUGUUGGUGGGGUAAUGGCCUACCAAGGCGUCGACGGGUAGCCGGCCUGAGAGGGUGUACGGCCACAUUGGGACUGAGAUACGGCCCAGACUCCUACGGGAGGCAGCAGUGGGGAAUAUUGCACAAUGGGCGGAAGCCUGAUGCAGCGACGCCGCGUGGGGGAUGACGGCCUUCGGGUUGUAAACUCCUUUCGACAGGGACGAAGCGHARGUGACGGUACCUGUAUAAGAAGCACCGGCUAACUACGUGCCAGCAGCCGCGGUAAUACGUAGGGUGCGAGCGUUGUCCGGAAUUACUGGGCGUAAAGAGCUCGUAGGUGGUUUGUCGCGUCGUCUGUGAAAUUCCGGGGCUUAACUUCGGGCGUGCAGGCGAUACGGGCAUAACUUGAGUGCUGUAGGGGAGACUGGAAUUCCUGGUGUAGCGGUGAAAUGCGCAGAUAUCAGGAGGAACACCGAUGGCGAAGGCAGGUCUCUGGGCAGUUACUGACGCUGAGGAGCGAAAGCAUGGGUAGCAAACAGGAUUAGAUACCC